rnacentral:rRNA from 1 species
CCUACGGGAGGCAGCAGUGGGGAAUAUUGCGCAAUGGGCGAAAGCCUGACGCAGCGACGCCGCGUGAGGGAUGAAGGUCUUCGGAUCGUACACCUCUGUCAGCAGGGAAGAACGGUCACUGUGCUAAUCAGCAGUGAAUUGACGGUACCUGCAAAGGAAGCACCGGCUAACUCCGUGCCAGCAGCCGCGGUAAUACGGAGGGUGAGAGCGUUAAUCGGAAUUACUGGGCGUAAAGCGCUCGUAGGCGGUAUGUCAAGUCAAGGGUGAAAUCCCCGCGCUCAACGUGGGAACUGCCUGUGAAUCUGGCAAACUGGAGUGUGUGAGAGGAUAGUGGAAUUCCAGGUGUAGGAGUGGAAUCCGUAGAUAUCUGGAGGAACAUCAGGGGCGAAGGCGACUAUCUGGCACAUAACUGACGCUGAGGAGCGAAAGCGUGGGUAGCAAACAGGAUUAGAUACCCUAGUAGUC